GAUGAACGCUGGCGGCGUGCCUAAUACAUGCAAGUCGAGCGAACGGACGAGAAGCUUGCUUCUCUGAUGUUAGCGGCGGACGGGUGAGUAACACGUGGAUAACCUACCUAUAAGACUGGGAUAACUUCGGGAAACCGUAGCUAAUACCGGAUAAUAUUUUGAACCGCAUGGUUCAAAAGUGAAAGACGGUCUUGCUGUCACUUAUAGAUGGAUCCGCGCUGCAUUAGCUAGUUGGUAAGGUAACGGCUUACCAAGGCAACGAUGCAUAGCCGACCUGAGAGGGUGAUCGGCCACACUGGAACUGAGACACGGUCCAGACUCCUACGGGAGGCAGCAGUAGGGAAUCUUCCGCAAUGGGCGAAAGCCUGACGGAGCAACGCCGCGUGAGUGAUGAAGGUCUUCGGAUCGUAAAACUCUGUUAUUAGGGAAGAACAUAUGUGUAAGUAACUGUGCACAUCUUGACGGUACCUAAUCAGAAAGCCACGGCUAAGUACGUG
rnacentral:rRNA from 1 species